AUUUUCUGUUAAUAAUUAACCUUCGUCACUGGUAUUUGUAACAUGGCCGCUGGAGGCUCUUUGUCACGGCUCGUAUAUCCUGCGUGCGCUUUUGUCAGUAAAUAACAGUUUGUAUUUGGAAGGGAGGGGAGCAGUUUGUCUUCUUUCACUUUCGGCUGCAGCCGCGGCAGUGAGCGGGGGAGAGGACGGCGAUGGCCAGCGUCUCGCUGGCCCGGGACACUCUGUGCUGCCCAAUCUGCCUGGAGCUGCUGAGCGAGCCGGUAACGGUGCCGUGCGGCCACAGCUUCUGCCGGGCGUGCAUUGGCCGCCACUGGGAGGUGCAACAGCGAGGCGCCGGCGGCUGCAGCUGCCCGAGCUGCCGGCGCAGUUUCGAACCGCGACCCUGGCUCGGCACCAGCACGCUGCUGGCCCAGAUCGUGCGCUCCCUGGCGCAGGCUUCGCCACCGGCCGCCGGGCCCGGGGACGUUCCGUGCGACUCGUGCCCGCGCCAGCAGCCGCUGAAGGCAGAGCGCUCCUGUCUGCAGUGCCAGGCCUCCUUUUGCCACAGUCACCUGCAGCCGCACCGCCAGAGCCCGGCUUUCCGCCACCACCGCCUGGCACUGCCGCUCCGUGACCUGAGCCUGCGCCGCUGCCCCACGCACGGCAAACCGCUGGAGAGCUAUUGCCGCACCGAGGGCCGCUGCGUGUGCUGGGUGUGCGCCCUGCAGGAGCACCGGGAGCACCAGGUCAGCACUGUGGAGGAGGAGGCGGCUCGCAGGCAGAAGCUGAUCAUGCAGCGGAAGAGGGAACUGGAGGAACACUUACAAAGCACGGCCAACGAGAUUGGAAAGUGGAUUGAGAACAUUGACUGUAUCAAGAGGGCAAGAACAGAACAUAUGCAUCAAGGAAGCUACCUCAGAAUUACAUCCGUCGCAGACAGGAUUUAUACGGUGAUAAAAGAGAUCACCUCUAAAUCAAAAGGAACUGUCUCAAUAUGCCUCUCAACUAGAACAAAUUUGCAAAAUAGACCAUGUUCUGGACACCAGACUGAUCCAAAGGAGCACAAGAUCACUGCAUGGACUGAAAGAGCAACCUGGUACAGAAACUCUAGAAGCUCGAGGCAGUUGGAAAGGGGACGUUUGGAGAAAUUACCUUAACAAGCAACAAGAUUGUCUCCAUUAAUUAUCUACAGUUUCUUACUAGUCUUAUAAACAAUUUGCAACACUAUAUUCACUGCAACAUCCUUGAAAGUUCUAAACCUCAAAGUAUAAAUCCCUGCUAAAUGAAAUGUGUCCUUGAUACAGAUAACUGGCCUGCUGAAAUACUGCCUAAUUAUGGAGAAGCUGCAAUAUCAUCUCUCUGUAAGAGGUUUAAGCUUUCUUCUUCCUCUGUAAUAAAUGCCUUCAGAGAUUAUGUGGAGGAUCAUGGACACCGCAUUCCCCAAGAUUUACACCCAUUACUGAGCUGUUCACAAGUUAUUCAUAUUAGUACUGCUGAGUGUGAGAGAGGGUUCAGUGACAUGAACUUGAUAAUAAUAACAACACGCUCAAGAAUUCUCAUACAUCAUAUAUCAACACGUAUGUUUGUUAAACUACACAGACCUCCUCUAGUUCUGUGGAAUCCUAAGCCACAUGUCACAACAUGGCUGCGGUACCGCAGAUCAGCAAGACCAGGUCAAGAGUUGCUUCAGACCUAUGAACACAUAUUACACCUGACCCUUUGUGGAAAUUAUUGUGAAACUUCCAAUUGUGGCAAUUGGUACAUGAGCGUGGAAUCAUCGAAGGAUCAGAGGUGACGAGGGUCAUUAACUUUGAAUUCCUAGGUGUCACUGUCUCAGAAGUCCUGUCCUAAACCCACCAAUAUAAUUGCAAAGGAAGCCCAAUGGCUCCUCUACUUCCCCAGGAGUCUGCGGAGAUACGGCAUGUCAUCAAAAACCUUGGAAAACUUCUGUAGCUGUGUGGACUGUGUGGUUUGAACAACAAAAUCUAUGUUCACUUUGAUCACUUUGCACUGUAAUGGUCUUUAUGUUCUAACUUUAAAAAAAAUUGCUGUUUGAUUUGAGAAUGCUGUGUGUCUGUAAUGAUGCUGUCAGUAUGGUUUUUGUCACCCCAUACACAUUUGGCAGUGAACUCGACUUUGACUUUGACCCACAGCAGCAAAGUCUGCUGACACGGAUAGUGCAUUUCUCAGUUGCUGUUCGAAAUAUGGUUUCCAAAGAAACCACAAACCAUGUCACCCUCCUCCCUGAUCACUGUGCAGAGCAGUGGACCAGAGCUCGGGACAGGAGCUGACAUGGUGUACACCAGUGGUGAGGCAGACAGGGUUAUGGAAAGGUGAAUUGAGGAAGUAUGAAAACAGAAGUCCCAAGUUAGAUCUCGUUUGUUUUGAGAGACCAACUGUGCUUCAAAGGUUUCUGAAAGUGCUGUCAAUAUGUGAGACAUAAAGUCUAAGUUUUCCAGGGAAGGAUUAUCUGUGCCUGGGAAAUAAUUCAUAGUUCUGAGCAUCCAUCCUCCCAUACCCAAGCCACAUUUCGGAGAACCACAUGUUUCGCUGUAUACCCCUUCAAUCGAUGGGGCUUCAGAGAGAGUGUGGGGCAGUGCCUGGUAUCUACACCCUAGCAAUAUCUUGGAGAACCAAAAUAGUCAUAGUCAUUGUCAUACUUUAUUGAUCCUGGGAGAUAUUGGUUUUCAUUACAGUUGCACCAUAAAUAAUUAAAUAGUAAUAAAACCAUAAAUAGUUAAAUAGUAAUAUGUAAAUAUGUAAAUUAUGCCAGGGAAUAAGUCCAUGACCAGCCUAUUGGCUCAGGGUGUCUGACCCUCCAAGGGAGGAGUUGUAAAGUUUGAUGGCCACAGGCAGGAAUGACUUCCUAUGAUGCUCAGUGUUGCAUCUCGGUGGAAUGAGUCUCUGGCUGAAUAUACUCCUGUGCCCAACCAGUACAUUAUGUAGUGGAUGAGAGACAUUGUCCAAGAUGGCAUGCAACUUGGACAGCAUCCUCUUUUCAGACACCACCGUCAGAGAGUCCAGUUCCAUCCCCACAACAUCACUGGCCUUACGAAUGAGUUUGUUGAUUCUGUUGGUGUCUGUCACCCUCAGCCUGCUGCCCCAGAACACAACAACAAACAUGAUCGCACUGGACACCAUAGACUCGUAGAAUGUCCUCAGCAUCGUCCGACAGAUGUUAAAGGGCCUCAGUCUCCUCAGGAAAUAGAGACGGCUCUGACCCUUCUUGUAGCCAGCCUCAGUGUUCUUUGACCAGUCCAGUUUAUUGUCAAUUCAUAUCCCCAGGUAUUUGUAAUCCUCCACCAUGCCCACACUGACUCCCUGGAUGGAAACAGGGGUCACCAGUGCCUUAGCUCUCCUCAGGUCUACCACCAGCUCCUUAGUCUUUUUCACAUUAAGCUGCAGAUAAUUCUGUUCACUCCAUGUGACCAAGUUUUCUACCGUAGCCCUGUACUCAGUCUUGUCUCCCUUGCUGAUGCAUCCAACUAUGGCAGAGUCAUCAGAAAACUUCUGAAGAUGACAAGACUCUGUGUAGUAGUUGAAAUCUGAGGUGUAAAUGGUGAAGAGAAAGGGAGACAAAACAGUCCCCUGUGGAGCCCCAGUGCUGCUGAUCACUCUGUCGGACACACAGUGUUGCAAGCACACAUACUGUGGUCUGCCAGUCAGGUAAUCAAGAAUCCAUGACACCAGGAAAGCAUCCACCUACAUCGCUGUCAGCUUCUCCUCCAGUAGAGCAGGGCGGAUGGUGUUGAAUGCACUGGAGAAGUCAAAAAACAUGACUCUCACAGUGCUCGCUGGCUUGUCCAGGUGGGCGUAGACACGGUUCAGCAGGUAGACGAUGGCAUCCUCAACUCCUAGUUGGGGCUGGUAGGCAAACUGGAGGGGAUCUACUUGUGGCCUAACCAUAGGCCAGAGCAGCUCCAGAACAAGUCUGUCCAGGGUCUUCAUGAUGUGGGAGAUCAAUGCCACCAGUCUGUAGUCAUUGAGGCCACUUGGGUGUGGUGUCUUCGGCACAGGGACGAGGCAAGACGUCUUCCACAGCACAGGAACCCUCCGGAGCCUCAGGCUCAGGUUGGAGACAUGGCGAAGUACUCCACAUAGCUGAGGGGCACAGGCUUUGAGCACCCUGGUACUGACACCAUCCAGUCCUGCAGCCUUGCUUGGGUUGAGAUGGAUCAUUGUGCUCGCUCACCUCCCCCUCCUUCAUAGAGUGGGGCAUCAAAAAUAAUAGCGGGUGGUGCAUGACAUCAAGGCAGAUAGAGGAAGAAGGGGUAGAAUGUGGGAGUGAGAGGAGAGUUGGAGGGUGGAAGGGGGAGAAUGGCAGAGUGCAGGGUGUUCUUGGAUGUUGGGGAGACUGGAGGAGUGUAAGGAGAGUCAGUGAAAAGAGAGAGGAGCAGUGGAGGUAACAAUGGUGGGGGAUGAAUGGGGGAUUGCAUGGAUUUCCUGGAUAUUGGGGUCUAAUUGGAAAGUGUAGAGAGAGCCAUUGGCAAGAGAAAGGGCAGUACUGAGGGAAAGGGGGAAAGGAUGACGGGAGAGAAUAGGAGGGUGUGAGGACUUGGAGGAUGGGAGAGAAUGGAGGUGUGUGGGGAGAGUUAGUGGGUAGAGAAAGGGGCAGUUUGGGGAGCUGGAUGG